UUGCUUCUGCAGCAAAUAUACUAUAAUUGGAACUAUACAGUGAAGAUUAGCAUGGCCUCAUCCAAGAAUGACAAACAAAUUCGUGAAGAGCUCCAUAUUUUU